AGGCCGGCUCGUAAUCGCUUGUUUAUUAAACAAAUUGAACAUAGCCGGACUCAUUAAAUGUCUGCUAAAAAAAUUAAGCUCAUAAAUGACAUAUUAUAUUGUCAGCUUUACUGCUGGAUGAAAAGUUGAAAGAAAAUUAGAAAAUUAGUUUCCUAAUCUAAAAAUUAAAAUUUAUAGAAUAUAGGUUUUUUUUAUAUUUUGGUUGGCCGAAAAUCCAAAAUUUAACUUAUGUUCGGCUCUUUUAUUAAAUAUUUGAUCGAUUUUGUGUUGAACACGAGUUGAUUCGCGAACAGCAAGCUAGAUUGUCGGCCCUAGUUGAAAAUAAAGAUGCAAACUGAGCAUAUUCAAGGGCGGGAGGGGC
rnacentral:lncRNA from 1 species